AAGUAGAUUGAAGCCAGGUAUGAUAGGGCGUUUAGCUGUUAACUAAAGUUUCGUGGGAUCAAGUCCCAUCAGUC
rnacentral:tRNA from 1 species